CGAGAGUUCUGUCUCGCAAGAGAAAGACUUCCAACCGGGCGAAAAAAGACCACGGACAUCCCUGUUCUCGAUCACAACUCAUCGAGUUGGCUUAACGGCGGACCGUGACGAAGUCGAACAAGCGGAAAAGUCAAUAAAAUAAAGUAAAAUCAGAUGAAACGAAAGGUAGAAAAUUAAUAAUCGGGGGAAGUUGAUGCAACUCGUUCGCGAGCAAGCGGUGCUCGAGGAAACGUGAAAUCGAAAAGCCACCUUCGUACAGACAACCGACAAACAAGGGAGAGCGGAGCAGAGUGGAUAGAUAGAUAGGUAUACAGCGUACCGUACGCGAACCUUCAUGCAAUUAGAUCUUUCAGCGGCGUGUAAAAAAUUAUGAAUUCAAACAGCGUUGUGAGCAGGCAAGGUUACACACGGUCGUACACAUGGAGCACGCUCUGAUUCUGAAAGGUUGAAGCAGAAUAACCGGGGGGUGGGCGGAGGAGGAGGGUGGAGGGUGGAAUACAUAACGUACGCAGAGAGAUACCGCGCGGACCCCCGGUGGACGAAACGAAGGACGAGUCGGACGGACCGAAGGGACCUUACGAAUGUAACGCAACGGAGUCAGGAUAUAAAACCGAUCGGUGUACAUCGCACGGGCAAGUACACGACACGUGCAACGCGCUGCCACCGACGCCGCAUCGUCAUCCCCCGUAUGUACGUAUACAAUACGUAUGUGGUCGUGUGCGCGUACACGCACACGCGUGUAUUAUAUUCAUCCCGUCGAAACUAAGCGAGGGGUUCUCGAGCCCGGAGUAGUGUGCCCGGCAUUUGUUUAAUUGGGAACCAACAUGGCCGAUGGGAAACUGCCCUUCGCGCGGACCGCUCGCGAACCAUGCAUCACGCGCGUAGGUGCCUGGGGAGGAGACUGACCGCGGUCAAGGGCUCUUUUUAAUUCACUUCCAAACGGAAUUCGUCGGGCGCCAAAAAAACUCGCCGAAGAAAUCGAUAACCCAGCAUAUUUCGUACGUUUGCGGGUCAAGCGUGAACCGCGCGAUUCGCGUGCCAGGUGCUCGAUAAUAAUGUUACGUACGGUGUGGUUUCGGCUAUUCUCGCUGGAAACGCGAUAAAGUUUCAUGUUUGUAUUCUUGGCCGUCGAAUGAGAAGCGCAGCGGGUUAGAUGUACUCCUGAAAAUCAUACAUGCGCGGCUCACGAAAACGGGCGAAACGGCAAACAUUGCAUUAAGUAGGCAGAUAUACCGUACGGAAAAUCACCCUAACUCCAACCUGUACUCACCUAUGCGCGUUACGGCUGGUUCCUCGUACUUUUGCAUACACGCGUGGCUGUCUUAUACGUACGCGGAAUAUACGUAGCCGUGUACGCUUCACUUGGUACGUUCGCUCCGUUCGCAUCGUGGGGCAAUCCCAACAGAUUUAACAACCUCAAGUAUAAGUUCCACCCCCUCGGUCCGCAAACACGACUCCCCGGAAGGCUGAUAUGAUAAUUUACUAAAAUGUAAAUAUUAUACUCGUGUACCCCGUAUGAAUAUUCAAUUAGCGUGAAUAGGUGCCGCGAAGGAAACAAGUAUACCGUCGAAAGAAGGAAGAAAAAAGAGAGGAAAAAAAAAACGAUAGAAAUCGAGCGAUUCGGAUCCGAAGUGUACGCGAAUGUUGAUCGAUUAAUUCCGAGCGACCGUGCGCGCACGUGUACACGAGUUUCAUUCGGAUUCGAUAGUAUAAAAGGCGAAUGAGAGUGAAGAGAGAAAAAAAUAAAAAAAAAAAAACAACGAACAAACAAGUAAAAGAAAAGUGGACGGGACUGUUUGAAGAGGAAUCCCUCAUCGGGCUUACCGCCUAUGACCUCUGACCUCGUGUGCCACACCGGCUAUUACUAUUCGGGUAUUCAUACGAAUUUCCAUUGACCAGUUCGCGAGUGUAUUCUAAAAGAGGAUGCUGCGAGAGGCUCAAAAGGGCAACCCAUCAACCAUCAAGGGAUUGGUAGUAUCCAGCGGUAAGGGGAUCCUGCGGUACCCAAAAAUUUUAACCAAAGCCUGUUUUAAUCCUUCGACAUCUGCAGCUGGGCUGCCUACCCUUCCACCGCUAUUAUUCGACUGCGCGUGAUCCAGAAAAUCAAAAGAAAUAUCCUCCGACGAUGCGAUGUACGUAGGCAGAAGGUACGUACGUACGUACGUGUACCUUUAUCCUGCUCGGCUGCUCCGUCGUAGUCCCGACGAAUAAAAGUCGUCUCGGUACCCACGGUAUACCGAAACACCUGCACCGCGAAGCAAAGACAAAUAAGAUCAUCGCCGUUCAUUUUUCGAGGGUCCUUUGCCGCCGGGUAACAAAACUCGAGUGGUUCGGAUUUUACAAAAAAUCAUCAUUACUCGUGCUUUUCAGAGUUUCGGACCCCAUCUUCGCGCAACUCGAGUGCCCACCUCGCGUGCGCCGCCACCGCUGCGGUAGAGGGCUCGAGGAAAAUCGAGAAGAAAAAGGCGGUGAUAAAAAUAAAAAAAGGAGACCCGGAAAAUUUAUUCGGGACAAUUUCGUCCUUGAAUGUGAAAUUCUUUCCCUCGACUUCCGCGCGAGGAGUACCUUAUUAGCGGCAACUACUCGGCGGUGCCGGUUUUCUUUCUUCUAUUCUUUUUUUUUUUCCUUCGGCGCAUGGCUCUCUCGUAUACCGGAAAUCAACGGUACGUUACGCGAGUGCCCUUAUUUCCUAACGAUUCGGUUUUUCACCGAUUGUACGUACGUACCCCCCCCCCCCCCCCCCCCCGCCGAUCGCGUCACAAGUCGAUCGGAAAAACUAUUCAACUGUUUAGAGAGGAGUUUAUUGUGCUGGGUUAAUACGACGUGAACUCGGCAGCCCACUCGAUGAUACACGCCUGAAUUCAAAAUGUAACAAGGCGCGGAUAUGAAAAGCGUGACAAUCAGAUCCGGUAAAAUCAAUUGUGAAAACCCCUCGUAAGCGAUGCGAAGACGGAGCAAAAAAUGUCAUUAAACAAAAAAAAAAAAAAAAAUAAGAACAGAAGGCGAGAAACUAUUUUCCCGAAGGAACGGAGUCUCCGUUGGUUCGUCGGACCUAGCGAAUGCGACGCGAGUGAAUCGAGACGCACGUGUAUUAUUUCAUAAAUUAUCACAAUGGAAAGUAGGAACAAAGUCGUGAUCGGAAAAUGAUGCUGCAUCUGCUUUGCCUCAGGCUCUGGAUUAGGGAUACAAUAAUAACACAUCAUCAUUCGGACCAACGUCGAACCCUCGAGCUAUCCGGGCCGCACGUGCUGUAGCCGAGUCGGUACAGAGGUAUAUUACGUACGUAAUACACGAAGAUCGCGGGGUCAGAAAAUAUCGCGAACAAACUUUGAACGCUACACGCGAUUAUUAUUCAUGCGUUAAUCCCUGUUGGUCAGCGGGCGAGUGCGGCGCCGGCAUGUUUCGAAUGAGUGGGCGAUUUUUUAUUCGUGAAAUUGAUCGGUCCCCGAAAGACGGAGAACCGGGCUCGACGUGUCAUAUGGUAUCUUUGGGGGCGGGGUGCGGGGGCGGGGGCGGGGGUUUACGCGACGUUGUAUAUUAAGAGUUUUGUUGCGUUUACCCGUAGAUUAUACACAAAGGAGUUUUCGCCGAGGAAUAGAGAGGAGUAUAUGCGUAGUGUAAGCCGGGCAUUGUCUAGUCGCGCGAUACCCGAAUGGGGAUUAUCCGUGCAUUCACAGGAGGCAUGCCCGCCGGGACGAGAUAACACCGAAAACCCGGAGAGCUCAAAGGGUUAUGAGCUCCCAUCGUGACGCUUUUCAAAAGAACGAAAAACAAACAAGAAAAAUUAAAUUCUGAAUUGCCACUCUCGUUGCCCGCGACGUUGCACGCGGCUUCGUUCCAGAAAUCAUCUCGUUAACCAUCGUUACGUCGCCACGAGCAGCGAUCGUGAAAAAUAUUCUUCUUCUCCCGAACGAAAAAACUAGAUCGCUGCGAUUCAAACUUGAUAUGCCGAGCGCCUUGUUUCGUUUCGUUUAUUUUUUUUUUUUAUGUUUUUUAAUCAAAGACACAGAUCCAUUUUGGCAGCGACGGAUGACUGGCCGUCCGUCAUCCUUUCACUCCAGGAGAUCAGGGUGCAUAAAAUCUGGGUCUCUGAGAUAUUUCGGAACGUGGGUCCUGUGCCUACCGAUUGCCGCGUUUGCGUUUUGUCUCCUUUGUUUAUCCAUGUUUUUUUUUUUUUUCUUUCAGCUCGUCGAAAGUAUAGGGGACGACCUUUUAGGACCGCAGACGUCAGGAUAGCAAUGACAGGCACCCUUUACCCGCCACCAUUUAUCCCUCAGGAGUCGCGAGCCCGUAGCUCCGGCCGAACAACCCAUUUAAGCGAGGUAGGUCUGCACACGAGAAUAAUAACAAUUUUCCAAUUAGGUAUCACACAUAUGCGUACUCGUCGUUGGAGUGGAACGAGCGGAAGGUACGACGGAGAGAAGAGCAGGACCGGUAGGACCAUGCAAAUCGUCUUUUACCCCCGUCUGCACCGUCCACAAUGUGGUCACCCAAGCGGCAUCGCACCUUAUCCAUUGUGUUCCAAAUUGCUAGCGAUUGUUGCAUUUUAACUGUUCGAAAGUUCGACACAAUGGGAAUAAAGCUCGCGUUACCCGGACCAGUUGACACCGCUGAGACCAACAACCCGGUUCCUGUCGCCGGCGUGUAAACCGUGUAAAUACCGAAACUGUUUUCCUACCACGGUCCAUCGGAAGCACCUUGACAUAUCGCUGCAUUCGUAGGUAGUAGACGUUCGCCCAGCUGCGGGAUCGGGAUGUGCCCGGCGUACGGAUAAUGUUUAUCGAGGCAAUAUCAACGUUUUAAUAAAUCACGUCCUCUCGUAAUCGAGUUAGAAAUAUAACGCCCGAUGGAAUCGUCGAAAGAAUCGCGCUCGCCGACUGUGUUUCCCGAGGACCGAAGGGGUUCGCUAAGUCGUCUGGAGGCGCCGAAUAUGAUCAACGCUUCGAGGACUGCGACGUACUUUGGAUCGCACCUUUUCGAGGGUAACAAAAUUUGGUAUUCUCACUUAUGACGGGUACGCAUACUUUCGUACAUAUUUCUGUUUCAACCGCGCCUCUCUACUCCCCCACCCUGUCAUACGAGGAUUUCAUUAUUUCGGUCGAACGGUGCACAACCCCCUUGACUGACCCUCUUAAAUUUAAUUCCCUGUUUCACUCGCACGUCAGUUAUUUAAUAUAAGGACGUUAGUAUGACGGACAGCCGGGUGCAGGUCCUUUAAAAAUGAUUAACCUACGCACGGUGGUGGUAGACGGAGAUGAAAAAUGAACCCUUUUUCCGAACAAAGGCGACGUUUAAUAUCGCGCGGGAUCAUCGCGCACCUAUCGCAUUUAUAGUAUAACGACGUCGUCUCUGUUAUAAAGAAGAACUUUUAAACGGUCGUACGUGCACUAGGUUCGGUCGCCGCGAACGAUUUACUAAAAAUUUUCAUAUCUUUCUUUCGUCGUUCGACGCGUUAGUACGUACGCGUCGAGUCGGAAGAUUGGAUCAGUGAAAUAAUGGAAUUGACAAUAUCACGAACGUCUCUACUGCACGGUAUAUUAAUUAUUACGGAGGGGAGGGAGGGAAUAAUCUGGAACGAAACGUUUGCUUAGCUACCGUUGUAACGGGGACAAUAAGACAAUAUCGCACUGGCUGCUUCGAGCAAAUACCAAAGUUCGGCUAAAUCCCGUCGUUAUUCAAAUAUCAAUCAACCGUCUGCGUUGACGUUGUCUUGUAUUCUCAGACGUGUUACACGCGAACAGCUCGGUCCCACGCACCGGAGACUGUAUAGCUCGUCUCAUUUCGCAUUAAUAAUUACACACGCACCGACAUUCGAUUGGGAAUAAAGAGAGAUAAGAGAAUGAGAAUUUUCGGCUCGUCUCACUGCUCGGGCAAAGAACUUUUUUUUUUAUAUAUACGUUAACCCCUUCGGUCUUCGCUGCGGCAAAAGCCACCCGCCAUCACGGUUCUCGGUUAGCUUGACUUUGGACAGGACGGUGACACGUCGAGUUGACACGCGAUUUGUCAUGCUAACGACCUCCUAUUAAUAAUCGCGAAUGCAUAUAUAGGCAUUUAUAUUACGGGGUAGCCGUUACAACGGUGGAAAUAUUCUUUUAUUAAAAAACCAGUGUACAGGAUAUUUGUCAAAAGUUUAAUAUCUGCAGCUCACAGUAUCGUUUCCCACUUUGUGUUCUUGUCGUAAGAAACGAAUAUUUGAUUAUUCGAAAUAAAUAAAAUGAGAAAUUCGAGAAACAUUUAGCGACGCACCUCCAAUUUAUCAAGAAGAUAUCGGAUAUUCCGGUAAGCGA